AUCUACCUGACGUGUUGUGCAAUUCACAAAUAAUUAAGCUAGACAAACUUACCAAUUGUUGAUUAUUAUAAUCAAAGAAAAAGACUAGUCCUGCUUCUGGACAGUUUGUCAUUCUUAUAGCAAUCAAUGAAAGUCAAUCAAGGCCCUUAACAGUUCAGGCAGUGUGUAACAACAUAAAAACAAGGCUAUUCAGGCAGUGUAUAACAACAGUUAUAUCUGUCGCCGCUGGAGAUUCCCCAUAGAGGAGCGUCCUCUUUGGUAACCUAAAAAGCCUUGAGCAUGGCUAUUCAGUGCCGUUCUCAGUUCUUACGCCUGCAAACAGUAACAACUACUGUAGCAACUAGCUAGCUAGAAAAAACGUGAGUUCUAUGCAUGUGCAUGGCCGUCUGAUGAUGAUCCAUAAUCCAUAAUCAACAAAAUUGCUGUAAGUAACUAAUAAGGAUGAUCCUUGAAGGAUGCCACCUGAAGAAAAUUUGGUUAGAUCCAUCUAUGCCGAUGACUCAAGCACCAUGAAAAGAUGGUUCAUUCUGCAUAGCAUGGUAAAGAAAUUACAAGAAUGACACAGUUAUAUUUGGAAAGAAAGGAAUCCAGCCAGAAUCCAUCUGCAAAAUUGGUGGAAGAAAUAUGUUGGCAAUGCACAGCAGUUUCAAACAAACAGAUAGAUAAUCCACGAGAAUUAGCAGUACAAAUUAUGAAGGUCUUCUGACACUAGCUAUGGAUCAAGUGCCACUUUGCAUUAUAUAUUUCAAUUAUUCACAAAAGUCAUGAAAACCAGACUGCUAACGCAUGGGGUCAGGUCAUGUUCCUAUGUUAAGAUCAAACAUUUUAAUGAGAAAAUAAGACAUUUACUUAUUAUGCGUCUUAAUAUUCUGUUCAACCUCCUAAACCAUAACAUGCAAAUAAAACAAGGUUUUUAUGUGUUGUUAUUUGAAACAAAAUAAUCAUAGUUGACAAACAUUUUUCAAUUUACACAUCUAACAAAAUGUACGCAUAACCGAACUAAUGCUCAAGGCAUAAACCAUGUGUGAUGGCGGUGUAUAUUGGUUAAUUAAAGGUACAAGUUCCAUUAGGCUAUCAGAAUACUAGAGAAGAUUAUAGAAGAAAAUCACUUAAGAAUUCUUUUACAAUAAUGGUUAUUUGCUACAAAAGAUUUAUUUAGUGCGUUGUGACUGUGAGUGUCCUUGUUGAAAUCUGAACAGAUAUACAGGGAAACAAACAGUUGAUAGCAUCUUGAUCCAUACAUACAGGUGAUGAGCUCGAUGAUGAUAGAGGCGUUGUGGCGGUCACUGGUAGCGAGUGUAGAGGAUGUGGUGGUGCAACACUUGGUUGAUUAAUUAGUGGUUGAGCUCGACAGGGCCGCCUGGAGCAGCUCUACCAGCAUCCCGGCAUCCGUUCUCCACAGCAGCAUGUGCUGCAUGACUGCACCCCGAGAAGGUGUAGACCCCACGAAGAAGAGGAAUCGAUGCAGCUCGCAGUUGACCAGCUUGAACUCGAUGCCGCGAAGAAGACGACCGUGUUCAGGCAGAGGCGUUGGGAGUGAGAACGAGGGAGUCCUUGGAGAGGCCAUCCGGGACGAACUCCUCCGGAGACAGGCGNN
rnacentral:lncRNA from 1 species